rfam:Freshwater sediment metagenome lwFormaldehyde_BCIB27203_b1, whole genome shotgun sequence.
GGGAGUGUGGCCUCCCGGAGCCGGCCUGCAGGGGCAGGCUCCAAACCACCCCAUGCUGCUGCGUCCAAAAGGUGCGGUAGUGAGCGAUGGGGAAAAGGCGGACAUGAUCCGUCAGGU